AGCAGUCGCCCGGUAAUACGGAGGAUCCAAGCGUUAUCCGGAAUCAUUGGGUUUAAAGGGUCCGUAGGCGGUCUUGUAAGUCAGUGGUGAAAGCCCAUCGCUCAACGGUGGAACGGCCAUUGAUACUGCAGGACUUGAAUUAUUGGGAAGUAACUAGAAUAUGUAGUGUAGCGGUGAAAUGCUUAGAGAUUACAUGGAAUACCAAUUGCGAAGGCAGGUUACUACCAAUUGAUUGACGCUGAUGGACGAAAGCGUGGGUAGCGAACAGGAUUAGAUACCCCAGUAGUCCCUGUCUCUUAUACA
rnacentral:rRNA from 1 species